UACGUAGGGUGCGAGCGUUAAUCGGAAUUACUGGGCGUAAAGCGUGCGCAGGCGGUUUUGUAAGUCAGAUGUGAAAUCCCCGGGCUUAACCUGGGAACUGCGUUUGAAACUACAAGGCUAGAGUGUGGCAGAGGGGGGUGGAAUCCACGUGUAGCAGUGAAAUGCGUAGAGAUGUGGAGGAACACCGAUGGCGAAGGCAGCCCCCUGGGUUAACACUGACGCUCAGGCACGAAAGCGUGGGGAGCAAACAGG
rnacentral:rRNA from 1 species